rnacentral:rRNA from 1 species
CUACGGAGGGGGCUAGCGUUGUGCGGAAUUACUGGGCGUAAAGCGUACGUAGGCGGUCUGAUCAGUUGGGGGUGAAAUCCCAGGGCUUAACCCUGGAACUGCCUUCAAUACUGUCAGUCUUGAGAUUGGAAGAGGUGAGUGGAAUUCCUAGUGUAGAGGUGAAAUUCAUAGAUAUUAGGAGGAACACCAGUGGCGAAGGCGGCUCACUGGUCCAAUACUGACGCUGAGGUACGAAAGCGUGGGGAGCAAACAGGAUUAGAAACCCUAGUAGUCC